rnacentral:rRNA from 1 species
GCAUAUCCAAUAGCGGAGGAAAAGAAACCAACAGGGAUUGCCUCAGUAACGGCGAGUGAAGCGGCAAAAGCUCAAAUUUGAAAUCUAGCACCUUCGGUGUUCGAGUUGUAAUUUGAAGAUGGUAACCUUGGGUUUGGCUCUUGUCUAUGUUCCUUGGAACAGGACGUCAUAGAGGGUGAGAAUCCCGUCUGAUGAGAUGCCCAUUCCUAUGUAAGGUGCUAUCGAAGAGUCGAGUUGUUUGGGAAUGCAGCUCUAAGUGGGUGGUAAAUUCCAUCUAAAGCUAAAUAUUGGCGAGAGACCGAUAGCGAACAAGUACAGUGAUGGAAAGAUGAAAAGAACUUUGAAAAGAGAGUGAAAAAGUACGUGAAAUUGUUGAAAGGGAAGGGCAUUAGAUCAGACUUGGUGUUUUACGAUUAUCUUCUCUUCUUGAGUUGUGCACUCGUAUUUCACUGGGCCAGCAUCGAUUCGGAUGGUAAGAUAAUGACAGUUGAACGUGGCUCCAUUCGUGGAGUGUUAUAGCUUCUGUUGAUAUUGCCUGUCUGGAUCGAGGGCUGCGUCUUUUGACUAGGAUGCUGGCGUA